rnacentral:tRNA from 1 species
GCAUUCGUGGUGUAAUGGUCAGCACACUCGGCGCGUAUUCCAGAGAUCCGAGGUUCGAAUCCCGGCGAGGGCA